rnacentral:rRNA from 1 species
AUGAGUGUAUCUACAGAGCCGAACGCUAAGCUCUGGCUCUUCUCUUUGCUAGAAGCGUCAUCGCAUGCAUCUUUUGUUCAACUAGCGGUGACACUAUGGGCAAUUUGGUGGGCUCGUCGUCAGGCAAUCCACGAAGGAAUCUUCCAGAGCCCACACGCCACACACAGUUUUAUCGAGCGCUUUAUAGCCGAACUUCAUAGUCUGGGAGAUGGCGGGGCAUCGGUUGCAACUGGCGGCACAAGGAUUGUCCCCUGUACUCGGCCCAAGCCUCCGCCUAGAGGCUUUGCGAAGAUCCACGUGGAUGCAGGGGUUGGCCGGUUCAAUAGAGGUGGCUCGGCUGCGGCAAUAUGCAGGGAUGAUCAGGGAAACUACCUGGGUAGCUCGGCAUUGGUGAUCCCGGGGGUAGUUGAUGUGGCGACGUUAGAAGCCAUCGCCUGCCGUGAAGCUUUGUCCUUGGCAGAAGAUUUGUACGUUCAUGACUUGAUUAUCGCUUCGGACUCCAAGCAGGUGAUCAACGACAUAAACAGAGGCUAUGGAGGGAAGCAUGGGGCUAUUAUCUCGGAGAUUUGCUUUCGAGCUGCUGCUUUUAAUUGUACCUUUGUUUUUGAGAGCCGUGCAUCGAAUGGUGAUGCUCAUACUAUAGCUAGAUCUUCGCUUUCUCUUCAGCGGGGGCGCCAUAUUUGGCUUGUUCACCCCCAUGCAAACUGUAUCCCACAAACUGUGGCUUAUAAUCAAUAA